rnacentral:rRNA from 1 species
CUUCCUACGGGGCGCAGCAGUCGGGAAUAUUGCGCAAUGGAGGAAACUCUGACGCAGUGACGCCGCGUAUAGGAAGAAGGUUUUCGGAUUGUAAACUAUUGUAGACAGGGAAGAAGAAAGACAGUACCUGUAGAGUAAGCUCCGGCUAACUACGUGCCAGCAGCCGCGGUAAUACGUAGGGGGCAAGCGUUAUCCGGAUUUACUGGGUGUAAAGGGGGCGCAGACGGCGAUGCAAGCCAGGAGUGAAAGCCCGGGGCCCAACCCCGGGACUGCUCUUGGAACUGCGUGGCUGGAGUGCAGGAGGG